rnacentral:rRNA from 1 species
GACGAACGCUGGCGGCGUGCUUAACACAUGCAAGUCGAGCGAUGAAGCACCUUCGGGUGUGAAUUAGCGGCGAACGGGUGAGGAACACGUGAGAAAUCUGCCUUCAACACUGGGAUAACUCCGGGAAACCGGGGCUAAUACCGGAGAUGAAACAUGCGGGCAUCCGCGGGUUGGGAAAGUUUUUCGGUUGAAGAUGAUCUCGCGGCCUAUCGGCUGGUUGGGGAGGGAAUGGCUCACAAAGGCGACGACGGGUAGCCGGCCUGAGAGGGCGACCGGCCACACUGGGACUGAGACACGGCCCAGACUCCUACGGGAGGCAGCAGUGGGGAAUAUUGGGCAAUGGAGGAAACUCUGACCCAGCGUCGCCGCGUGCGGGAUGAAGGCCUUCGGGUUGUAAACCGCUUUCAACAGGGAAGAAGCGAAAGUGACGGUACCUGCAGAAGAAGCACCGGCUAACUAUGUGCCAGCAGCCGCCGUAA